rnacentral:rRNA from 1 species
UACGGAGGGUGCGAGCGUUGUUCGGAAUCACUGGGCGUAAAGCGCGUGUAGGCGGCCUGCUAAGUCUGAUGUGAAAGCCCGAGGCUCACCCUCGGAAGUGCAUUGGAAACUGGCAGACUGGAGUCCCGGAGAGGAGGGUGGAAUUCCUGGUGUAGCGGUGAAAUGCGCAGAUAUCAGGAGGAACACCAAUGGCGAAGGCAGAUCUCUGGGCCGUAACUGACGCUGAGGAGCGAAAGCGUGGGGAGCAAACAGG